CUUGUGGACUGUCAUAACAAAUGGGAGUAGAUUUUAUAUGAUAUAAAAACCAAACCAGACAGGGAGAAGCAAGAA
rnacentral:ncRNA from 1 species